rnacentral:rRNA from 1 species
UGGGGAAUAUUGCACAAUGGGCGAAAGCCUGAUGCAGCAACGCCGCGUGAGCGAUGAAGGCCUUGGGUCGUAAAGCUCUGUCCUCAAGGAAGAUAAUGACGGUACUUGAGGAGGAAGCCCGGCUAACUACGUGCC